rnacentral:rRNA from 1 species
UACGGAGGGUGCAAGCGUUAUCCGGAAUCACUGGGUUUAAAGGGUCCGCAGGUGGGUUAUUAAGUCAGUGGUGAAAGUCUGUAGCUUAACUAUAGAAAUGCCAUUGAAACUGAUGAUCUUGAGUGUAGUCGAGGUUGGCGGAAUAUAUCAUGUAGCGGUGAAAUGCGUAGAUAUGAUGUAGAACACCUAAUGCGAAGGCAGCUGACUAGGCUAUUACUGACACUGAGGGACGAAAGCGUGGGGAGCGAACAGG